UACGUAGGGUGCGAGCGUUAAUCGGAUUUACUGGGCGUAAAGCGUGCGCAGGCGGCCCGUUAAGACAGGUGUGAAAUCCCUGGGCUCAACCUAGGAAUUGCGCUUGUGGCUGGCGGGCUCGAGUACGGUAGAGGGGGGUGGAAUUCCUGGUGUAGCAGUGAAAUGCGUAGAGAUCAGGAGGAACACCGAUGGCGAAGGCAGCCCCCUGGGCCUGUACUGACGCUCAUGCACGAAAGCGUGGGGAGCAAACAGG
rnacentral:rRNA from 1 species